rnacentral:lncRNA from 1 species
UGGCAGAAUUCAAAUUUUGCUGAAUACAUUGAGUUGCUGUUUGUCUUUAGGCUAAAUGUAGGGACUCUCUGCUCCACCGAGUCUGAUAUUACUCUCUAAAUGGUCUGGAUCAGUGAUACUCUUGAAAAGCCAGUCAUAGCUUCAGGGGGCUGGCUUCUCUACAGCACGUUCUCUCACCUGGCUGUGCUCUGUUUAUCUUGUAUGAGGAGAGAGUAUCCAGUCUGGAAGGGGUAGACAAUUGCCUAGCACCAUUGAUUGAAUCUUUCUACACUGAUUUGUAAUACUCCGCUAUCAUAUUCAAAACCUGUGUGUGUCUGUUCUGUGAGUGCUGUGAGUUUUGUGUGUGCCAGUUUUAUUCUAGGCUGUAUUUUUUCCCGGCAUUUUAUAAUUAGCAUUGAGAAUUUGAAAGGAUAAGUUAUUCUCUUUUAUUUUUCUUAGUUAGGAUUGUUCUUGGCUACUCUUGGUCCUUUACUCUUCAAUAUGAGUGAUAGGAUGAAUUUUUUAAUUCUGUAAAUAAAAUGGAAUUUAAUGUAAAAAAAAAAAAAAAAAAAAAA